AACAAAUGCUACGUUUUCCACAUAUUUAACCAUGAUGAGGUUGUGCAGUAAUGUAUAAUAGAACAUUAACCAAUACAUAAUCAAGGUUUUAGCCACCUAUACCUUGAUUAUAAUACCUUAUCUAGCUAUAAUGUGUCACAUUGCAUUUUGUAUGUGCAUUUUUGAUGCAAAGAAUCUUGAGGAUACAAUUUACAAAUCUAUAAUCUAAACUUAGUGUGGUAAUUAUGUUACCAACAGUUGACAUUAUAUCUUUUUAUUUAUUUCAAAGUAUUUCUAAUCA
rnacentral:lncRNA from 1 species